rnacentral:lncRNA from 1 species
UUAUGAUAAAUGAAUUUGCUUAAUUAAGAGCUCCAUUAAUUAUUUUGAUUUUUAUACCAACCUCUAUUUCUGUGUCGGUAAGUAGCGUGAUAUUUUUACUGGGCUAGUGUAGCUCAUUCCUUAUUUAACUAUUUUAGAUCAAGAGGACCAGAAUUCAGAUGCCGACCCACAAGAGGGGUGAGAGGAGGGUUCAUUAUGAGAGGAUGUUGACCGGUUAUUUGAGAUGCUGGAGAGACUCAUUGCUGUCCAGCAUGCCCGGGAGAAAAGGAAUGAGCUACCUGAAUCUCUCCCAUUGCCACAGGUUGAGCCACCUCUGCAGCGAGAGGAUCCCGAGCCACCCUGGUAUGACCCUACUCCUCCACAGUAACACCUGGCACCACCAAAGUAUGAUCCAGUGUCCCAGCCACAGUACCACCCGGCAUUACCACAGUAUGGCCUGGUACCCCAACUGCAUCACCCAGCACCACCACAGUACAAUCUAGUGCCUCACCAUAUUAUCCAGUACCACCGCAGGGCCACCCAGUCCAUCCUCAGUGCAGUUCAGUCCCUCUUCCACAAGACCCAACUCCUUCCAUGAUGGACCCAGACUACAUUGAGAGGUAUAAAAGACUAAAUACAUCUACUUUUGCAGGGGGAUCCUCCUUUGAAGAGACUGAGUACUGGUUAGCUGAGACAGAGAAGGCUUUCACGAUACUUGAGGUGACUCUCGAACAGAAAGUCAUUUGUGCUACCUACAUGCUGGUGAGAGAAGCAGGCCGCUAGUGGCAACUCAAGCAGGCCACAUUUCCCUUUCCAGUCACUUGAGAAUAGUUCCUGACGGCCUUUCAUGCAAUGUACCUUCCAGAGCAUCUCCGACAUCUAAAGGAGAUGGAGUUUGUACACUUGGUCCAGGGGGACAUGAUUAUAUCUAGUGCAAUCUAGUACACUGCAUGAAAGGCCUUUCACCACAGUACAAUCUAGUGCCUCACCAUAUUAUCCAGUACCACCGCAGGGCCACCCAGUCCAUCCUCAGCGCAGUUCAGUCCCUCUUCCACAGGACCCAACUCCUUCCAUGAUGGACUU